CUCAUCCAACAAAAUUCCCCGGACUUCUCUGUUCUUUGAACACUAGAUGCCUUAUAAAUACUCAGCAAUAUAUCUACCAAUAGCUUUGCAAAAGCUAAAAAUCCAAAAAAUAAGCAAAUGAAAAACACCGUGAUACCCUUAUUUUCCAUAGAUAUUUGAUUAUCUCGAACCCUUUCAACCAUUAACCUGAGCGCAAGAUUAUCCCUGAGGAGAUUAUCCAUCUGUGUAGAAACAAGGGAUUUCCAAGAAAGGAGAUCGUCAACUUCUUUAGCUAUGACCUCCUGGCUGCCAAGGAGAUUUCUUUAUGUCAGAUAUGAUUUUCUCUAAAAGUGUGUCUUUCUCUCCCAAAUCUUUGUCAAAUUCUUUAAAAAUAUUGCCAUAUCUGUAAUUCACCUCCUCCAAAUAUCGUUCCAAAACAGAUAAACUUAAGUCCAGAGAAUGAACUUUCUGCAUCAAUAUUUUAAGAACAGUGUCCCCUGGCAUUCUGCCUACUUGUUGGUGAUGAAUUUCUUCCACGCGAUCUGGCAAUUUAUUUUUCGUUACUUCAUGCUUCAUGUUUGAGUUUUCAACUGAAGUGCCAGAUUCAAUUCCCAUCCUAAGUUCUUGAUCAAAAUCAUCAACACGAGAAGACUCUGAUAGAGAUGGUAAAGGUUUUGGCUCACCAGUUCCCUCAUCAUAUAUAAUCUUGUUUUCAACAGAGAUCAAAUCUUCCAGCAUUCGCUCAACAGCAUCAACUCCGUACACUUCAACAACACUAAGAGUACAA
rnacentral:misc_RNA from 1 species